rnacentral:rRNA from 1 species
GAUUAUAUGCUUGUCUCAAAGAUUAAGCCAUGCAUGUGUAAGUACAAACUAAAUAAAAGUGAAACCGCGAAUGGCUCAUUAAAUCAGCUAUGAUUCAUUGGAUCUGUACCACUUUUUCUUACUUGGAUAACUGUGGUAAUUCUAGAGCUAAUACAUGCACAUAUAGUCCCUUUAAGCCGUAUGUUUGUGUAGCAAUACCGAACUGAGGUUAUACAAAGGGCGCUUUUAUUAGUAUCAAAACCGGUAUAUAUCUUUGGCUUCGGUCAUUGAGAAAACCCUAGUAUGAUGACUCUGGAUAACUUUUAGCUGAGCGCAUAGUCUUUUGCACUGGCGCCGCUUCUUUCAAGUGUCUGCCUUAUCAGCUUUCGAUUGUAGGUUAUGUGCCUACAAUGGCUAUAACGGGUAACGGGGAAUCAGGGUUCGAUUCCGGAGAGGGAGCCUGAGAAACGGCUACCACAUCUAAGGAAGGCAGCAGGCACGCAAAUUACCCACUCCCGGCAUGGGGAGGUAGUGACGAAAAAUAACGAUGCGAGACUCAUCCGAGGCCUCGCAAUCGGAAUGAGUACACUUUAAAUACUUUAACGAGUAUCAAUUGGAGGGCAAGUCUGGUGCCAGCAGCCGCGGUAAUUCCAGCUCCAAUAGCAUAUAUUAAAGUUGUUGCGGUUAAAAAGCUCGUAGUUGGACUACAGCUCUGGGCUGAUGGUGAGCUCUAAUUCCCUCAUUCGGGUUGCUCAUCUAUUCAGCUCAGUAACUGCUUCAGCAGUGAACAACUGUUGUGCAUUCUAACUGGCUCGCACGGGGUGCUCUUAGGUGAGUGUCCCGAGUGGCUGGUAUGUUUACUUUGAAAAAAUUAGAGUGCUCAAAGCAGGCUAAAUGGCCUGAAUAAUUGUGCAUGGAAUAAUGAAAUAGGACCUCGGUUCUAUUUUUGUCUAUACCGGUUUUCCCUUUAUUGGAACCAGAGGUAAUGACUAAUAGAGACAAACGGGGGCAUUUGUACUGCGACGCUAGAGGUGAAAUUCUUGGACCGUCGCAAGACAAACAACUGCGAAAGCAUUUGCCAAGGAUGUUUUCAUUAAUCAAGAACGAAAGUUAGAGGUUCGAAGGCGAUCAGAUACCGCCCUAGUUCUAACCAUAAACUAUGCUGACCAGCGAUCCGCCGGCGUUAUUCCCAUGACUCGGCGGGCAGCUUCCGGGAAACCAAAGUUUUUGAGUUUCGGGGGAAGUAUGGUUGCAAAGUUGAAACUUAAAGGAAUUGACGGAAGGGCACCACCAGGAGUGGAGCCUGCGGCUUAAUUUGACUCAACACGGGAAACCUCACCAGGUCCGGACACUGGAAGGAUUGACAGAUUGAAAGCUCUUUCUCGAUUCAGUGGGUGGUGGUGCAUGGCCGUUCUUAGUUGGU